CAUGAACUUUGAACUCUUGAUACAAAUGUUGAAACAAAUGGAUUCAAUAAGAGAUUUAAAGAUAGAUUCAGAUCAAAUGAUAUCAGUCCAUCUCUGUUGUCUGUUUGUCAGCAUGUUGUCAACAUUAACUAUUUAAAAUGACGCCAUAAAAUAUUCUGAAUAUUUUGUAAUUUUCCACAAACACGCUCAUCCAAUCAGCCGAGACCCCUGAAUGGUCAGAGUAUCACAUGACGUCACUGCAUACGUGUCCAUUUCUAACAAUUCUUCACCAGAACUGAAUUUCACAAUGAAAUCCAAAGUUUCCUGACGAUGUGUUUCAGGUGCGGACGAGGACGCGGUCUGCAGGUGAAGAUGAGUGAGAGCUGAAUUUUUCUGAAUGUUACAGACUUCUUCUUGACUUGUACCUGCAGAAGGAAGAGAGAAGCGUGACGUCCCUAACUGGGCGAUGACCUCCUCCGACUCCUCCAGCCGGGUGGAGGAAACCGGCUACGACCGAAUCCGAGACCUGGCCAGAGCCUUCCGGGCUCAUUUUCCCUCCGCAGACCGACUCGGGUACGGAGUCCACGAGCCGGACGAGUAGAAACACAAACAGGAAGUUCAGUUUGUGAAGCCAAUCAGAAGCAGGAUGUUGAUCUGUGUGUCCAUGAAGAGCCGCCAUGAGUCCACCGCUUUCUUUACAGAGCACGUGAGCCAGCGCUCUGUUUCUUUCUAAUGUGAGCAGAGUUACAAAGGAUUCACAGAAACUAACAUGUGGUUAAAGGAGUCAGUCUGUCACAGCACAAAGUGUUGUUGUACUGGAGGAAGUAUUCAGAUCCUUUACUUCAGUAAAAGUACUAAUACCGCACUGUAAAACACUCUGUUACUUAUGAAAACGUUACUUAAGUAAAGGUAUGUAAAAGUAUAAUCAGGAAAAUUUACUUGUUGAUUGAUUGAUUGUUUAGUUUGUAAAAUGUUAGAAAAUGUUGAGAAAUGCGUCACAAUUACCCAGAAUCCUUUAUGUUCUUGUACACUUUUCCUGUAUCUGUUGUUGUAUUUUGAAUUUGAUCAAUAAAGUAAAAAAGUUCCUGUGAGAUUUAUAUUGUUCAUCAUUUGUAUCACAGGCAAAGUGCUCUGUGUAUAAUAAACAUGACAGAAGGCGACAUGAGGAAACCUGAAGUGUCAGCUUCAGUCAGACGGAUGAAGUACAUGUAGUAUAAAGUACUACAGUAAAGUAUAUGUAGCAUAAAGAACUGCAGUAAAGUACAUGUAGU